ensembl:lncRNA
AAUUUGGCACAAUUCAGCAUUUGUAAAAAUUUGCACGUCACCAGAGAUUGCAUCAUUACCGAACCAUUUUACACGUUUUUUUUUUACAUGUCUUUACUUGGUUUUAGCAAGAUGAACUGAAUGAAAUGGGUACUGAGGGUUAAAUACCAGCACAACCUUUUGUUUUAGAAUUUGCAUUUGCGAUUUGCAUCUUCAGAAACUAUAUGUUUGAUGUCAGUAGCAAAAGGGCUUGGUAUUUUGCUUGUUAGAUUAACUCAUUUUCUUCAGUUUUACUGCACUCAGUGUGUCCAAAGUAUGAUGAGCACAGCAGAAUGCAAAAUACUGGAUAGGAUAAGAAAAACAGUAAGCUCACAUAUGAGAGCCAAUGAUACUGAUAUUGGUACAUAGCCCAACACAGUGCAUCCAGAAAGUACACGACUGCUGGUGUUUCAUCAUGUUACAUCCUCAUUCCAAAAUGAUUAAAUUCAUUAUUUACCUAAAAAGAUCCACACAAUACCCCAUAGUGACACGGUUAAUAAAAGGUUUGCUUUAAAUUCUUUUAAAUUUACUAAAAAUAGCAACCAAAUAUGUUCAUAUAUGUAUUCAAAGCCCCCGCUAUGACACUCAAAAUCAUGUACAUCCUGGUUCCACUGGUCAUCUGAUGAUUCUAUAACUUGAUUGGAGUCCACCUGUCUAAAUAAGGCCCCACAGUUAACAGUGUAUGUUGGAGCACAAACAAAGCAAGGAAUUGUCUGUAGACCUCUGACACAGGAUUAUAUUGAGGCACAAAUCUGGAGAAGGGUACAGAAAAAUUACUCUUCAUCAAAAAUAUCACCAUCAUCUGUAAAUAGAAGUUCUGCCUGAGUCAGGUAGGUGACCAAGAAAGCGAUUGUCAGUCUGACAGCUCCAGCGUGGAGAGAGGAGAAACUUCCAGAAGGAUAAUCUUUUCUCCAGCAUUACGCCAAUCAGGCCUGUAUGGGAGAGGGUCAGACAGAAGUCAAUUCUCAAUAAAAGGCACAAGACAGCCCACCUGGAGUUUACCAAAAGUCACUUGAAGGACUCUCAGACCAUGAGAAACAAAGAUUGAACUAAAUGCUAAACAUCAUGUCUGGUGGAAACAAGGUAUCGCUCAUCACCUGGCCAAUACCAUCCCUACAGUGAAGCUUGGUGGUGGUAGAAUCAUGCUGGGAGAUGUUUUUUUGGCAGCAGGAACUGGGAGACUAGUCAGCCUUAGCUUGGAUCGCAGACUGGGGCGAAGGUUCAUCUUCCAACAGGACAACAACACUAAGCACACAGCCAAAAUAACAAAGGAGUGACUUUAGCCAGAGCUCAGACUUGAACAUGAUUGAAGUUUGAGAUCUGAAAAUGGCUGUGUACCAACUCCCACUCUGUCCAACCUGAUGGAGCUUGAGAGUUUCUGCAAAGAAGAAUGAGAGAAACUGCCCAAAGAUAGGUGUGCAAAGCGAGUAGCAUCAAACUGAGCAAAGACUUUGAAUACUUACAUGGCAUAUUUUUUUUCUAUUUUUAAUAAAAUUGCAAGAAUUUCAAGCAAACCUUUUUACUCAUUAUGAAGUGAUAAUCAAGUCCAUGUUGGAACUAGAAAGUGCAUUUUCUGAAGAAACUGCAGUGUGAAUGCUUGAAUCUGAAUGUAUGGACUGAAAUGAAUUAAUUGCUGAAUUUUGAGUUAAAAAUAUUGAAUGAGAUUUAAAAAAAACAACAAAAAAAAACGAAUUUAACCUGAAAACAAAGGUGCUGAACUGCUAAAGGCUGAAGGUUACACAGAAGAAGAAGUUGGAAAAAAGCUGAAAAUGUUUUAAUUGUAAAUUAGAAAAACCUAAGAAAUGAGAAAAGAACAUUUAGAGUCAGAAAACAUCUGAAAGAAUAUUAAAAGGUCAUAUUCUUUGAAUCACUGAAUGACUCAAAUGUGAUCCCUCCACUUUGAUCCACACAGUUUAAAAAGUUUAAAUGCCUGAGCUUUGAAAGACACGGUGUUGGAAAGAGAACAAUAAUGGCGACAAUUUGAGGGUAAAAUGAUGGCUGUAACACUGUGGACACAGCAGCAGUUGAAAGAGAAGUGCUUAAGAUGAAUCUUGGCACAGUGGCAGGCAGAGCUCGUUAAGCAGGCAGGUGUGAGCCUGGUUGCUAUAGUGACCGCACCCAAUGGCUCCAUACACACGUACACAGACAUGCGCCUCACUUUUGCUGCUUAAAAUGAACAGAAAAGUCAGGCCGAAACAAAUCGUUCCCAAAUGAAAAGUAAAAGUCGUAUUGACAAAAUUCUUUCACCGUGAGCGACAGCAAUGUCUAGUCUACCUAAUUCUCAGUUUUCAUGCCUGUGGAGCUUAUUAUAUGGACGUGGUGACAGUGGAAAGACACCAUGCUCUUCUGAUUUUCAAACGAACCUUCUGAGCCAUUUUAACAUUAGAGUCUAUGGAAGAGUUGGAGGGAGGAGGCUGUGCAUUGGUGACAUUUAUGAAAGAACCAUAACACCUAGGACAAUAGUAAACACAUUGGAUGAAAGAGGACAGCGAUGGCUACGUUUUGAGGGUAAAAUGGCGGCUGUAGAGCAAACGCUGCGGACACAGCAGCAGUUUUAAAAAAGAUUUUAAGAUUAAUUUUUUUGCUCCUCUCACUCUAGCAGUUGAGCUCUCUCACUCUAGCCCCAACAUUCCGUCCCAUACACACCCAUUAUAAACUCUGAAACGGGU